UUUCCGUAGGUGAACCUGCGGAAGGAUCAUUAACGUAUCACCGAGGUGCGAGUGCUGUCGCUGACCCGAAUUGCUCUGCACGCACGAGUGCCACCACACACAACUAUUUCACCCCUACGUACACCACCGCGUGGGCCCCCCUAAGUCUUGUUCGGAGAGGGGUAUACGUUUUCACACAAACUGUACAUAGAGUAUAGGAUGAGUUUAUUGUUUUAGCGAACACGCAAUCAAUACAACUUUCAACAACGGAUCUCUUGGCUCUC
rnacentral:misc_RNA from 1 species